AGGCUGGAGGGUUUAACCACCAAGUUGCAAACUUGGUACAGCGCGUGCCCAGACUAU
rnacentral:tRNA from 1 species